rnacentral:rRNA from 1 species
UACGAAGGGGGCUAGCGUUGCUCGGAAUCAUUGGGCGUAAAGGGUGCGUAGGUGGCGGGGUAAGUCAGGUGUGAAAUUUCGGAGCUUAACUCCGAAACUGCAUUUGAUACUGCCUUGCUUGAGGACUGGAGAGGAGACUGGAAUUCACGGUGUAGCAGUGAAAUGCGUAGAGAUCGUGAGGAAGACCAGUGGCGAAGGCGGGUCUCUGGACAGUUCCUGACACUGAGGCACGAAGGCCAGGGGAGCAAACGGG